rnacentral:rRNA from 1 species
CAGUCGCCACGGUAAUACGUAGGUGGCAAGCGUUGUCCGGAAUUAUUGGGCGUAAAGGGCUCGCAGGCGGUUUCUUAAGUCUGAUGUGAAAGCCCCCGGCUCAACCGGGGAGGGUCAUUGGAAACCGGGAAACUUGAGUGCAGAAGAGGAGAGUGGAAUUCCACGUGUAGCGGUGAAAUGCGUAGAGAUGUGGAGGAACACCAGUGGCGAAGGCGACUCUCUGGUCUGUAACUGACGCUGAGGCUCGAAAGCGUGGGGAGCAAACAGGAUUAGAUACCCCCGUAGUCCCUGUCUCUUAUAA